UACGUAGGGGGCAAGCGUUUGUCCGGAUUUAUUGGGCGUAAAGAGCGUGUAGGCGGUUUGGUAGGUCCGCUGUGAAAACUCGAGGCUCAACCUCGAGACGCCGGUGGAAACCAUCAGGCUAGAGUCCGGAAGAGGAGAGUGGAAUUCCUGGUGUAGCGGUGAAAUGCGCAGAUAUCAGGAGGAACACCGGUGGCGAAGGCGGAUCUCUGGGCCGUAACUGACGCUGAGGAGCGAAAGCAUGGGGAGCGAACAGG
rnacentral:rRNA from 1 species